rnacentral:rRNA from 1 species
AGCAGCUGCGGUAAUUCCAGCUCCAAUAGCGUAUAUUAAAGUUGUUGCAGUUAAAAAGCUCGUAGUUGAAUUUCGGGAUCAAUAUAUCGGUCGUGCCUUGGUACGUACUGGUAUCAUUGGUUUCUCCUUUCUGACGAACCAUGAUGUCAUUAAUUUGGUGUUAUGGGAAGUUAGGACUGUUACUUUGAAAAAAUUAGAGUGUUUAAAGCAGGCUUUAGCUUGAAUACAUUAGCAUGGAAUAAUGAAAUAGGACGUUCGAACCUAUUUUGUGGUUUCUAGGAUCAACGUAAUGAUUAAUAAGGAUAGUUGGGGGCAUUAGUAUUCAAUUGUCAGAGGUGAAAAUUCUUGGAUUUAUUGAAAGACUAACUACUGCGAAAAGCAUUUGCCAAGGAUGUUUUCAUUAAUCAAGAACGAAAGUUAGGGAUCGAAGACGAUCAGAUACCGUCGUAGUCUUAACCAUAAACAUAGACCGACUAGGGAUCGGAUGAUGUUAAUUUUUAAUGACUNAUUCGCGCCUUAA